UACGAAGGGGGCUAGCGUUGUUCGGAAUUACUGGGCGUAAAGCGCGCGCAGGCGGUCUUCCAAGUCAGUGGUGAAAGCCCGGAGCUCAACUCCGGAACUGCCAUUGAAACUGUUGGACUUGAGUACGAGAGAGGUGAGUGGAAUUCCCAGUGUAGAGGUGAAAUUCGUAGAUAUUGGGAAGAACACCGGUGGCGAAGGCGGCUACACUGGCUCGUAACUGACGCUCAGGCGCGACAGCGUGGGGAUCGAAACAGG
rnacentral:rRNA from 1 species